rnacentral:tRNA from 1 species
GCACUAGUAGCUUAGCCGCCAAAGCGCCGGUCUUGUAAUCCGGAGAUCGGAGAUUCAAAUUCUCCUUAGCGCC